rnacentral:lncRNA from 1 species
CGACGACUUGUUUCGUCGGUAUGUCCUCGGAAUAGCGUUAUUCCGACGACAUACCGACGAUUUUUUCCCUCAGUAUACCACUGUUUUCUUGUAGUGAUACUUCUAAUAUAUUAAAAGUGAAGUACAAAUAAAAAUUAACCUUAAUUUUUUCUAAUAUUUACAUUUGAAUGCCACUGGCCUUAAAUAAUUUUAAGAAAUA